rnacentral:rRNA from 1 species
CAGUAGCCGCGGUAAUACAGAGGAUGCAAGCGUUAUCCGGAAUGAUUGGGCGUAAAGCGUCUGUAGGUGGCUUUUCAAGUCCGCCGUCAAAUCCCAGGGCUCAACCCUGGACAGGCGGUGGAAAUUACCAAGCUGGAGUACGGUAGGGGGAGCCGGAACUUCCGGUGGAGCGGUGAAAUGCGUUGAGAUCGGAAGGAACGCCCGUGGCGAAAGCGGGCUCCUGGACACCACCUGACGCUGAGACGCGAAAGCCAGGGGAGCGAACGGGAUUAGAUACCCCUGUAGUCCCUGUCUCUUAUAC